CAAUAAAAAUAAAACACUCAAAAAGACAAUUGUUUAAUUUUUCUCUGGAAUCAAACACCACAUCGAAAAAGACUUUUGUAGGAAAACAAGAAAGGAGUCAGAAAUCUCGUGUGGAAAGUGCCGCUCAUUGCGCCAGUCUUACGAGAGAUUGGAGCUGCGUUAGCACAAGAGUUUCAUCACUCUCUCUGAGAAUCUGAGUAAUCCACCAAGAGAACAACUUAACAAAUCCAUUGAAAACACCCGGUGGCUCAAAUCCGAAGAAUGAAAGAACGAAAAAGAAGAAAGACAAUUCAAGAGAGAGAGAGAGAGAGAGAGAGAGAGAAAGAAGGAUCGCGAUCUCUUCCGGCUCAGCGACGGUGCGAGGCGAAGCUGAAGUUGGCGAUUUAUAGGGCUCGUGAGUCUUGCCUAUGGCUUAUAUAGUGGGAGCUGGCUAUCUUGUGCUAGGUUUGCCCUAAUUCACAACUGAAAAUUGAUGUUAAAACGGUUUGUCGUUUAAAUGUGCUUUCUUAAAUAACCAAUAAUAACAUUUUAUUUAUGCAAAUGCGUAUAUCAAAUAUUAAAUAAAUUGUUUGAAAUUAGUUAAAUUUUCAAAAUUUCUUUGUAAGUGUUAAAUUAAUUAUUUUUAAUUUUUAUCUAAAUUUAUUGAAAAUUUCAAUUUAAAUCUAUUUAAUUUAAAAAUAAAUAGGAGAAUGAUUUUAUUAAUACUUGAAAUUAAUCAAUAAAUUAAGAAUUUUGUUAAAAUUUUUUAGUUUGAUGUUAAAUUAAGUUUAAUCUGAAGUCUGAAUUAAUUUAGAAAAAAAUUAUAAAUGAGUUGAUAAAGGUAAACAUUUAUUCAUUUGAAAUCUUAACAUGUCCAGUUUAAUUUGAAAAUGAACAUUAUAAAAAUAGAUUAAAAUGUCUUAAAAAUCCAAAAGUUUAGCCGCUUAUCAAUUUUAACUGUUUUAUUUUUAACAAUUUUUAGCCUGAUUCGAAAAUUUUAAAUUUAUUUUUAAAAAAAUAUAAAAAUACACUAUUUUUGCUUUAGAGUUUAUAAUUUAAUUUAUAUCAAAAUAUCAUAUAUUAUAUCAUGUCUCUACCAAAUUGUGAUAAUUUUUUUAUGCAGUCAAAAAAUACUAUGUGAUAAUUAAAAUAUAAUUAUUAAUUAAAAAGUAAAAAUAUAAAAAAAUAUAUUGUGAUUUCUUCAAUUUUUAUUUUAAUAUUUGUGAUCUAAUGUGUAUUAAAUUAGUAUUUAGUGAUAUAAUUUUUAUAGAUUUAAUCUAUGAAACAUGUAAAUCUAACUUUGUAAAAUACAUUUUCAAUAUUUUAUAAGAUUUCAAAGGAUCCGAUGUAUUUUGGAGCUAAUUUAUCUUUCUUUUCAAAAUAAAUCAUCUUUUUCGUAUGAGACAUUUUAAGCAAUACCAUAUUUUCCUCCUAAAUGACAACUUGCUUCUUACGUAUGUCUGCAUAACUCUUCGACCUACUUACAGUUGUUCUGAUUAUUUCUCUGAUAAUGGGCACCACCCUGUUGGUGGUUUCUACCAAUUCUAGUCCUACUAAAACCCUUUUUUUUCUACUUCUUCCCAACAAACAAGCGAUCUGCACUUUUUCCCAUGUAAGUUUCAUAUGGAGCCAUCCCAAUACUAGCAUGAUAACUGUUAUUAUAGGCAAACUCAACUAAUGGUAGAUGUUGCCUCUAAGAAUCACCAAAAUCUAGCACACAUUCUUAAUAUGUCCUCUAUGGUUUGGAUAGUCAUUUCCGACUGUCCAUCAAUCUGUGAGUGGAAAGCAAUGCUAAAAUAUAACCUUGUGCCUAAAGUAUUCUGCAGACUCUAUCAAAAUCUAGAGGUAAACUGGAGUCUCCCAUCUGACACUAUAAAAACUAGAGUCCCAUAUAGUCUGAUGAUUUUUUUCACGUAGAUCUGUGCCAAUUUAUCCACCGAAUAAUCACUCUUGACAAUAAUAAUGUGAACAAAUUUGAUCAAUCUAUUCACUAUUACCUAUAUAGAGUUGUGUCUCUUGGACGUCAUUGGUAAUCCCACUACAAAAUUCAUUGUCAUGUUUUUUCAUUUUUAUUCUUGAAUGGGAAAAUUACUUCUUAGUCCAUGAGAUUUAACGUAAUUAACACUUCUGUCCAUCUAUUUUGGCGACCCAACACUUAAGUCCCUCACUUUCUCUUCCGUCCAAAUUCAUAGUCAUUUCGUCCAUUUAAACCGUUUGGUCAAAGAGUCAAAGGUGAGAGGUGAUAAUUUUUUCCAAAAAUACCCUUCUCUCAGUGUGAAAUUCUUAUUUUUUUUCUCUUUCAUGUUUUCUCCGGUUGUAGAAGAAGAAGAAGAAGAAGUUGCAAAAAGGGUAGGAAGAAGAAGAAGAAGAAGAAGAAAGAAGUUGC
rnacentral:lncRNA from 1 species